GAUCAUAUCACCUUCCAAUAUCGGUUCUCGUACGAUUACAGAAGUUAAGCAACGUUGAGCCUGGUCAAUAUAUAGAUGGGUGACCGAUUGGGAAUAACCGGUGCUGUAAG